rnacentral:rRNA from 1 species
GUGAAGUUGACCGCCUGGGAGUACGGCCGCAAGGUUAAACUCAAAGGAAUUGACGGGGACCCGCACAAGCGGUGGAUGAUGUGGUUUAAUUCGAUGCAACGCGAAAAACCUUACCUACCCUUGACAUGUCAAGAAUUCUGCAGAGAUGUGGAAGUGCUCGAAAGAGAACUUGAACACAGGUGCUGCAUGGCCGUCGUCAGCUCGUGUCGUGAGAUGUUGGGUUAAGUCCCGCAACGAGCGCAACCCUUGUCAUUAGUUGCUACGCAAGAGCACUCUAAUGAGACUGCCGGUGACAAACCGGAGGAAGGUGGGGAUGACGUCAGGUCCUCAUGGCCCUUAUGGGUAGGGCUACACACGUCAUACAAUGGCCGGUACAGAGGGCUGCCAACCCGCGAGGGGGAGCCAAUCCCAGAAAACCGGUCGUAGUCCGGAUCGUAGUCUGCAACUCGACUGCGUGAAGUCGGAAUCGCUAGUAAUCGCGGAUCAGCUUGCCGCGGUGAAUACGUUCCCGGGUCUUGCACACACCGCCCGUCACACCAUGGGAGCGGGUUCUGCCAGAAGUAGUUAGCCUAACCGCAAGGAGGGCGAUUACCACGGCAGGGUUCGUGACUGGGGUGAAGUCGUAACAAGGUAACCAAUC